rnacentral:rRNA from 1 species
GAGUUUGAUCCUGGCUCAGGACGAACGCUGGCGGCGUGCCUAAUACAUGCAAGUCGAGCGAGCUUGCCUAGAUGAUUUUAGUGCUUGCACUAAAUGAAACUAGAUACAAGCGAGCGGCGGACGGGUGAGUAACACGUGGGUAACCUGCCCAAGAGACUGGGAUAACACCUGGAAACAGAUGCUAAUACCGGAUAACAACACUAGACGCAUGUCUAGAGUUUGAAAGAUGGUUCUGCUAUCACUCUUGGAUGGACCUGCGGUGCAUUAGCUAGUUGGUAAGGUAACGGCUUACCAAGGCAAUGAUGCAUAGCCGAGUUGAGAGACUGAUCGGCCACAUUGGGACUGAGACACGGCCCAAACUCCUACGGGAGGCAGCAGUAGGGAAUCUUCCACAAUGGACGAAAGUCUGAUGGAGCAACGCCGCGUGAGUGAAGAAGGGUUUCGGCUCGUAAAGCUCUGUUGGUAGUGAAGAAAGAUAGAGGUAGUAACUGGCCUUUAUUUGACGGUAAUUACUUAGAAAGUCACGGCUAACUACGUGCCAGCAGCCGCGGUAAUACGUAGGUGGCAAGCGUUGUCCGGAUUUAUUGGGCGUAAAGCGAGUGCAGGCGGUUCAAUAAGUCUGAUGUGAAAGCCUUCGGCUCAACCGGAGAAUUGCAUCAGAAACUGUUGAACUUGAGUGCAGAAGAGGAGAGUGGAACUCCAUGUGUAGCGGUGAAAUGCGUAGAAAUAUGGAAGAACACCAGUGGCGAAGGCGGCUCUCUGGUCUGCAACUGACGCUGAGGCUCGAAAGCAUGGGUAGCGAACAGGAUUAGAUACCCUGGUAGUCCAUGCCGUAAACGAUGAGUGCUAAGUGUUGGGAGGUUUCCGCCU